GACGAACGCUGGCGGCGUGCUUAACACAUGCAAGUCGAACGAUGAAGAAAAGAAUCGAAGCUUCGGCAGAAAUUCAUUUCGGAUUAGUGGCAGACGGGUGAGUAACGCGUGAGCAACCUACCUCUUACAAAGGGAUAGCCUCGGGAAACCGGGAUUAAUACCAUAUAACAUUGUGACGAAGCAUUUCGAUGCAAUCAAAGCUACGGCGGUAAGAGAUGGGCUCGCGUCCCAUUAACCGGAUGGUGAGGUAACGGCUCACCAUAGUGACGAUGGGUAACCGGGCGGAGAGGGGGAACGGUCACACUGGAACUGAGACACGGUCCAGACUCCUACGGGAGGCAGCAGUGGGGAAUAUUGCACAAUGGAGGGAACUCUGAUGCAGCGACGCCGCGUGAGUGAUGAAGGAAUUCGUUUCGUAAAACUCUGUUCUAUGGGAAGAAAAGGACGGUACCAUAGGAGAAAGCUCCGGCUAAAUACGUG
rnacentral:rRNA from 1 species